GCCCGCGUAGCUCAGUGGAUAGAGCGGCAGCCUUCUAAGCUGAAGGUCGCAGGUUCGAUUCCUGCCGCGGGUA
rnacentral:tRNA from 1 species